AUUUAUAUAUUUUAAUUAAAAAUAUUAUUUUUUCAUUAUAAAGUUAAUAAAUUUAUUUAUAAAUA
rnacentral:tRNA from 1 species